rnacentral:rRNA from 2 species
UCCGUAGGUGAACCUGCGGAGGGAUCAUUACACAAUAUGAAAGCGGGCUGGCAUCCUUCGGGGUUACAGCCUUGCUGAAUUAUUCACCCGUGUCUUUUGCGUACUUCUUGUUUCCUUGGUGGGUUCGCCCACCAUAGGACAAACCAUAAACCUUUUGUAAUUGCAAUCAGCGUCAGUAAAAAAAUUAAUAAUUACAACUUUUAACAACGGAUCUCUUGGUUCUGGCAUCGAUGAAGAACGCAGCGAAAUGCGAUAAGUAGUGUGAAUUGCAGAAUUCAGUGAAUCAUCGAAUCUUUGAACGCACAUUGCGCCCUUUGGUAUUCCAAAGGGCAUGCCUGUUCGAGCGUCAUUUGUACCCUCAAGCUUUGCUUGGUGUUGGGCGUCUUGUCUCCAGUUCGCUGGAGACUCGCCUUAAAGUAAUUGGCAGCCGGCCUACUGGUUUCGGAGCGCAGCACAAGUCGCGCUCUCUUCCAGCCAAGGUCAGCAUCCACAAAGCCUUUUUUCAACUUUUGACCUCGGAUCAGGUAGGGAUACCCGCUGAACUUAAGCAUAUCAAUAAGCGGAGGA